rnacentral:rRNA from 1 species
GUGUCAGCAGCCGCGGUAAUACGAAGGGGGCUAGCGUUGUUCGGAAUCACUGGGCGUAAAGCGUAUGCAGGCGGGUCGUUAAGUGAGAGGUGAAAUCCCGAGGCUCAACCUCGGAACUGCCUUUCAUACUGACGAUCUUGAGUCCGGGAGAGGUGAGUGGAACUGCGAGUGUAGAGGUGAAAUUCGUAGAUAUUCGCAAGAACACCAGUGGCGAAGGCGGCUCACUGGCCCGGUACUGACGCUGAGAUACGAAAGCGUGGGGAGCAAACAGGAUUAGAUACCCUCGUAGUCC